rnacentral:piRNA from 1 species
UGUACUGUGUAGAUAUUUGCCUCUCACGGCUU